AUUGAACGCUGGCGGCAUGCCUUACACAUGCAAGUCGAACGGUAACAGGUCUUCGGUUGCUGUCGAGCGGCGGACGGGGGCGUAUUACUACGGCACGUGCCCGCUCGCGGGGGGUCACGGGGCACAAGCUUUGAUAAUACCUCAUACGGUCUACGAUUGCGAGCGGGGUGUUUCCGGACCUCGAGCUGGCGGUGCGGCCGAUGACAGAUUAGGUAGUUGGUGGGAUAAAAGCUUACCAAGCCGACGAUCUGUAGCUGGUCUGAGAGGAUGAUCAGCCACACUGGGACUGAGACACGGCCCAGACUCCUACGGGAGGCAGCAGUGGGGAAUUUUGGACAAUGGGCGAAAGCCUGAUCCAGCCAUGCCGCGUGCAGGAUGAAGGCCUUCGGGUUGUAAACUGCUUUUGUACGGAACGAAAAGCCUCUUUCUAAUAAAGAGGGGUCAUGACGGUACCGAAAGAAUAAGCACCGGCUAACUACGUG
rnacentral:rRNA from 1 species